rnacentral:rRNA from 1 species
GACGAACGCUGGCGGCGUGCUUAACACAUGCAAGUCGAACGGAAAGGCCCUGCUUUUGUGGGGUGCUCGAGUGGCGAACGGGUGAGUAACACGUGAGUAACCUGCCCUUGACUUUGGGAUAACUUCAGGAAACUGGGGCUAAUACCGGAUAGGAGCUCCUGCUGCAUGGUGGGGGUUGGAAAGUUUCGGCGGUUGGGGAUGGACUCGCGGCUUAUCAGCUUGUUGGUGGGGUAGUGGCUUACCAAGGCUUUGACGGGUAGCCGGCCUGAGAGGGUGACCGGCCACAAUGGGACUGAGAUACGGCCCAGACUCCUACGGGAGGCAGCAGUGGAGAAUAUUGCACAAUGGGCGGAAGCGUGAUGCAGCAACGCCGCGUGCGGGAUGACGGCCUUCGGGUUGUAAACCGCUUUCGCCUGUGACGAAGCGUGAGUGACGGUAAUGGGUAAAGAAGCACCGGCUAACUACGUG